ACUGGCUCAGUUGCUGCUUCACACCAAGGAAGCGAGUCAGUAGAUCAGCAGCAACAACAUGUACUUGCUGCAAAAUGGCUGCAAUCUCCCUUCCACAGUCCAGCUCUGGAGAUAGAAUCUCCCUUACAGCUCUCCUUAACCAGAAAUAUGCUAGAAAGGGAAAUCUGGGAAAUAUAGUUCAACCUAGCCAAGUUAAUACAUCACAAAGUCAUUGCAUAUGCACUGAAAGGGAAUCGUAGUGUAGGCUUUGGCAAAGACAAUGGUAAACCAAUUCCCUGACCUUAGAUAAUUUAGAAUAAGCUGAGGGAAAUAACCAUUAAAGGAGUGAUAACAAAUAUGAUGAAUGUCAAAAAAGAGGGCCAUAAAGUCUGCUACAAAAACUUGCAACUAGGAGAAUUAGGAGGUCAGCAAAGGAGUUAUCACUGAAGAGAUGAUGUUUCCAUUAAAACUUGAGAAUUGAUUAGUAAUUAGCCAUUGGGAGUAGAGAUUGGAGUGAGAGGUGUGAGGGCAUUUUCCAGGUAUAGAAGAUGUGAACAUUUCAAGGACAAGAAGAGAGUGGCUGGAAGCACAGUCUGAAAGGAAAAUCAGACCUGUAAAGUAGCCAUUCUAAGUAUGGAUAACUGCUGAUGGCCUUCUACCACAGUGUGAUCCUACCCAGAAGCCUUCACCAGUCAAAUGAAGUGGGAACAGCUACCUAAUCUUUGUGACACAUCUAAGGAUUUCUAAAUGGUCAUUUCUGCAGCAACCAACUGUGGGCAAGGAAUCUUCGACAACACUCCUUCUGGCACGGCUUUGCUAUGAGAGAUGCUUGCCAGAGGCUGCCAAAAUAAACUUGAAAACACAGGAGUUAACUUUCAUAAGGAAGUGGUUCUUAAAGUGUGACCCCUGAACUAACAGCCUCAGCAUCACUUUAGAACUUGCGAGAAAUGCACAUCUCCAGCCCUAGGUCAGCCCUACUGAAUCAGAAACUCCAAGGCAGGAUCAGCAAUCUGUGGCUUCACAAGCUCUGCAGAUGAUCGGAUGGACUAAGGUGGAGAUCCAAGAGGUGCAGCAGAGUCACCCGGAGUAAGAGCAUCCCAUCUUCUGCCAGAACCACCCUUCAUUGUGCCUCGAGAGUAUUUUUUUUGUUUUUAUUCCAAAAUGAACACCUUCUAUCCUAAAUAUUCCUCAAAAGCAAUACCCAUGGCAGGAUCAUGUGUACAUGCCACCAAAAUAUAGUGUCCUAUGACAUGUGAUGGCCAUGGGGCUGCUGAUUAAGAAGACAGCAAAACCCUAAGUUUCACUGGCGAACUCCUUGUCCCCAGAUAUCCUCAUCUCCUAGGAUUCCAAGAAGAGCCCUUGGAUAGGCUUCGGAAACAAAAUGAGUUUUAAUUAAACCAAGGUCUUCUAUGGCCAAGAAUAAAAUGCACGAGUAUCGUCAAAAAGAAAAACAACAGAAAGGUUGCCACAGCUGAAAAGGGAAAACCAAGCAGAAGUGUUUCCCCUACCAGGCCUGCUGAGAACUUUUACAGCCUACUUUAAAACUGUUCAGAUGAAAGACACAGAUCAGAAAAAAGUCUUCAAGUAUAUUUCUCUUUUCUUCCUCUAGCCAGAUUGUUUUUUUAAAAUACAGUGUAGUGAAAGAAAUAAGAUUAAUCAAAAAGAGUUGGUGGGAAGAAAAAUAAUAAAGCUCGUAGGUUGUUGUUGUUUAGUACAAAACAAAAAAAGAGAUUGUGCUAUAAAACAGAGGCCUGGUUGCUGCGGGGUGGGGGUUUGGGUGCAGGGGAAGACGUUCAGGAAGGCUAAAUACAAACAGGAGACUGUACCUGUUGGGAGGAGAAUAUACUCAGUAAUUUAUAGAGUCCUGAUGUGAGAUAAGUCAUCUUACUUUUGAUGUGGUUUGUGCCUAACUCAUUUAUUACGAAAAAUGAUUGGAAACCCAGAGCAUUUGAUUUAUUUAUCUAGCAACUUGCUAAAGCCCAAAACUAACCCAGAGAGCAAACAGCAAUAAGAAAGCCAUCUAUCAUCUUGAAUUAAACACUUGCUACCAAAUCAUAAAAAUUUGUCCUUUAUCCAAUCUAUGUCCAAGAUCAAUCAUAAAAGGUCAUGCCUUGGGAAUAAGGUGACUUGAAGCUUUCAACUAAAUUUCUAGGCUUCUGUGAAUUUGAGCUUCAACCUUCAAAGACAACAGGGCAUGGAGUUUGGCAGCAAACGAUCCAAUCAUCUUAAAUGCUGAUGUAAAAAUUGUGAUUCGCUUGAUUUAAAACACUGUUUUACUGUGAAUGUUUCAAGUUUUGUUUGGAUUCUGGUUUUUAAUACUUACUGGUAAGUAUGCAGAAAGAGAUACUUUGGGACUUUUAUUGCCAUAUUGCCUAUUACUGCUUCUGUGUUUAAAAAAUCUGCUUAUUGCAAGCAGGGUAGAGUCAUUUUAUGCAUAUUUGGCUUAAUUUUCUACUAAGCAAAUAAAAAUGUCUUCAUGU